rnacentral:SRP_RNA from 1 species
GCCAGGCACGGUGGCGGGUGCCUGUAAUCUCAGCUACUUGGGAGGCUGAGGCAGGAGAAUAGCUUGAACCCGGGAGGCGGAGGUUGCAGUGAGUUGAGUUCACACCACUGCACUCUAGCCUGGGUAACAGAGCAAGACUCCGUCUCAA